GAUGAACGCUAGCUACAGGCUUAACACAUGCAAGUCGAGGGGCAGCAUGGUCUUAGCUUGCUAAGGCCGAUGGCGACCGGCGCACGGGUGAGUAACACGUAUCCAACCUGCCGUCUACUCUUGGACAGCCUUCUGAAAGGAAGAUUAAUACAAGAUGGCAUCAUGAGUUCACAUGUUCACAUGAUUAAAGGUAUUCCGGUAGACGAUGGGGAUGCGUUCCAUUAGAUAGUAGGCGGGGUAACGGCCCACCUAGUCUUCGAUGGAUAGGGGUUCUGAGAGGAAGGUCCCCCACAUUGGAACUGAGACACGGUCCAAACUCCUACGGGAGGCAGCAGUGAGGAUAUUGGUCAAUGGGCGAGAGCCUGAACCAGCCAAGUAGCGUGAAGGAUGACUGCCCUAUGGGUUGUAAACUGCUUUUAUAAGGGAUAAAGUGAGUCUCGUGAGACUUUUGCAUGUACCUUAUGAAUAAGGACCGGNUAA
rnacentral:rRNA from 1 species